UACGUAGGGGGCUAGCGUUGUCCGGAAUCAUUGGGCGUAAAGAGCGUGUAGGCGGUCCGGUAAGUCCGCUGUGAAAGUCGGGGCUCAACCCUCGAAUGCCGGUGGAUACUGUCGGGCUAGAGUGCGGAAGUAGGCGAGUGGGAAUUCCUGGUGUAGCGGUGAAAUGCGCAGAUAUCAGGAGGAACACCUAUUGCGAAGGCAGCUCGCUGGGACGUAACUGACGCUGAGACGCGAAAGCGUGGGAAGCAAACAGG
rnacentral:rRNA from 1 species